rnacentral:rRNA from 1 species
CACGUAGGCGGGUACUUAAGUCAGGUGUGAAAGACCGCAGCCCAACUGCGGGGUUGCACUUGAAACUGGAUAUCUUGAGGGCAGGAGAGGUCAGUGGAAUUCCUGGUGUAGCGGUGAAAUGCGUAGAUAUCAGGAGGAACACCAGUGGCGAAGGCGGCUGACUGGACUGACCCUGACGCUGAGGUGCGAAAGCGUGGGGAGCAAACA